AAAGAGCUGCAGUGUCGGCUGAAAGUUAUCUGCACCGGUAUCUGUGUGUGUUUUUUUUUUGUUUGUUUUUUUUAACUGAACCGAUGGGACAAUAUUCUUGUAAUGUCCCGAGUAUUGAUAGUCGGUGCAGGGCUCACAGGCAGCCUGUGUGCUUGCCUGCGCUGCGAAGAGAAAUGCACAGUAAUACACAUAUUGUAGUGUGGGAUAAAGCCAGAGGCCCAGGAGGAAGAACAAGGCAACAAGCAGAAGUCUUAAUUAAUGACCCCACGUGUACUGCUGACCUGGGAGCACAGUACAUAACUGCAACACCAUACUGUUCUUCGAAGCAUCAAAGCUUUUAUGAAGAGCUGUUGGCGCACAGCAUUUUAAAACCCCUGACUGCCCCAGUGGAAGGGAUGGUGAUGAAAGAGGAUGGUUGCUGCAACUUCAUAACCCCACGGGGAAUCUCUUAUAUUGUCAAGCAUUAUCUCGGAGAGUCAGCAGGGGCAGAGGUGUUCUUCAACUACCACGUGACCCAUAUCCACCUCAAGGAUGAGAAUUGGGAAGUCUGCAGGAAGUCGGGGGCUCCUUACCAUGCCCGUCCCACAAAUCCUCCAGCUGCAAGGAGACCUUGACAAGUGACUCAGAGGCAGAUGCAGAAGCUGGAAGCUGUGAGCUACUCCUCUCGCUACGCUCUGGGACUCUUCUAUGAAGCUGGCACGAAGAUUGAUGGCCCCUGGGCAGCAAAGUACAUCACCAAUAAUCCCUGCAUAUGCUUCAUCUCCAUCAACAAUAAAAGGCACAAUUUAGAGUCCACUGACGCAGGCCCUGCAGUGGUCAUCCACACCAGCAUGCCUUUUGGACUAGAAAACUUGGAGGGUAAAGAAAAAGUGGAGCCGUUAAUACUGGAGGAGUUGGCCGAGUUGUGCCUGGGCUGCCCAAGCCUGUGAGCACUGAAUGCCAAAAAUGGAGAUAUUCACAGGUCACCCAAGCUGUGUCAGAGAGCCCGGGGCAGAUGAUUAUUCAUGCCAGACCCCUGCUGGGCUGUGGUGGAGAUGGGUUCACACAACUCCAACUUUGACGGCUGCACAGACUCCACUUUGAAAAUCCUGGACGUUUUUAAAUCAAAUCUCUGAUUUUUUUUAACUACUUUGAGAGACAAACAGGAAUUACUGCCUGUUACCACCACAGUUUUCUGAUGUCUGAUGUCUAUUUUAAAUGUAAUAAAAACAGUAAACAUGAGUGCUUUGUAACACAUGCAUCCUUUCUCCCAAAUGCAGCCAUCACUGAACUUUUAUAUUCUCAGUAGUGUAUUUGAAGGCUCAACAUUGAUGGUGUCUCGUGGUGUUUUGAACAUCGCAAAAGCAACAUGACUUGCUAUUUCCAAAACAAAAGACUGAAUGUAACUUUGUUUAACUCACAAAGUCGAUACCAAUACUACAGACUUUGCCAGUACUAAGUUAAUUGUUUUGACACAUACUGUUAGUAUACACAGAGUUUGGAAAUAUCAAAGUUUGACCAGACUAUUUUCAGAUUGAUUUUCUUUAUAUGAAAUUAUACCAGAUGCUGUGGUAAAUACAUUUGUACAAUUACAUAUUUGUAGGCUAGCUUCAAUUUUGUCAAAAUAAUGCCACAUGUCAAAAGUAAUAAAAAUGUAUCAAUCAAUUAUAUUUUA